rnacentral:rRNA from 1 species
GGUGACUGCGUACCUUUUGUAUAAUGGGUCAGCGACUUAUAUUCUGUAGCAAGGUUAACCGUAUAGGGGAGCCGGAGGGAAACCGAGUCUUAAUUGGGCGUUAAGUUGCAGGGUAUAGACCCGAAACCCGGUGAUCUAGCCAUGGGCAGGUUGAAGGUUGGGUAACACUAACUGGAGGACCGAACCGACUAAUGUUGAAAAAUUAGCGGAUGACCUGUGGCUGGGGGUGAAAGGCCAAUCAAACCGGGAGAUAGCUGGUUCUCCCCGAAAGCUAUUUAGGUAGCGCCUCGUGAAUUCAUCUCCGGGGGUAGAGCACUGUUUCGGCUAGGGGGUCAUCCCGACUUACCAACCCGAUGCAAACUGCGAAUACCGGAGAAUGUUAUCACGGGAGACACACGGCGGGUGCUAACGUCCGUCGUGAAGAGGGAAACAACCCAGACCGCCAGCUAAGGUCCCAAAGUCAUGGUUAAGUGGGAAACGAUGUGGGAAGGCCCAGACAGCCAGGAUGUUGGCUUAGAAGCAGCCAUCAUUUAAAGAAAGCGUAAUAGCUCACUGGUCGAGUCGGCCUGCGCGGAAGAUGUAACGGGGCUAAACCAUGCACCGAAGCUGCGGCAGCGACGCUUAUGCGUUGUUGGGUAGGGGAGCGUUCUGUAAGCCUGUGAAGGUGGCCUGUGAGGGUUGCUGGAGGUAUCAGAAGUGCGAAUGCUGACAUAAGUAACGAUAAAGCGGGUGAAAAGCCCGCUCGCCGGAAGACCAAGGGUUCCUGUCCAACGUUAAUCGGGGCAGGGUGAGUCGACCCCUAAGGCGAGGCCGAAAGGCGUAGUCGAUGGGAAACGGGUUAAUAUUCCCGUACUUGGUGUUACUGCGAAGGGGGGACGGAGAAGGCUAUGUUGGCCGGGCGACGGUUGUCCCGGUUUAAGCGUGUAGGUGUGUGUUCCAGGUAAAUCCGGUUCACUUUAACACUGAGGCGUGAUGACGAGGCACUACGGUGCUGAAGCAACAAAUGCCCUGCUUCCAGGAAAAGCCUCUAAGCAUCAGGUAACAUCAAAUCGUACCCCAAACCGACACAGGUGGUCAGGUAGAGAAUACCAAGGCGCUUGAGAGAACUCGGGUGAAGGAACUAGGCAAAAUGGUGCCGUAACUUCGGGAGAAGGCACGCUGACACGUAGGUGAAGUGAUUUACUCACGGAGCUGAAGUCAGUCGAAGAUACCAGCUGGCUGCAACUGUUUAUUAAAAACACAGCACUGUGCAAACACGAAAGUGGACGUAUACGGUGUGACGCCUGCCCGGUGCCGGAAGGUUAAUUGAUGGGGUCAGCGCAAGCGAAGCUCCUGAUCGAAGCCCCGGUAAACGGCGGCCGUAACUAUAACGGUCCUAAGGUAGCGAAAUUCCUUGUCGGGUAAGUUCCGACCUGCACGAAUGGCGUAAUGAUGGCCAGGCUGUCUCCACCCGAGACUCAGUGAAAUUGAACUCGCUGUGAAGAUGCAGUGUACCCGCGGCAAGACGGAAAGACCCCGUGAACCUUUACUAUAGCUUGACACUGAACAUUGAGCCUUGAUGUGUAGGAUAGGUGGGAGGCUUUGAAGCGUGGACGCCAGUCUGCGUGGAGCCGACCUUGAAAUACCACCCUUUAAUGUUUGAUGUUCUAACGUGGACCCGUGAUCCGGGUUGCGGACAGUGUCUGGUGGGUAGUUUGACUGGGGCGGUCUCCUCCUAAAGAGUAACGGAGGAGCACGAAGGUUGGCUAAUCCUGGUCGGACAUCAGGAGGUUAGUGCAAUGGCAUAAGCCAGCUUGACUGCGAGCGUGACGGCGCGAGCAGGUGCGAAAGCAGGUCAUAGUGAUCCGGUGGUUCUGAAUGGAAGGGCCAUCGCUCAACGGAUAAAAGGUACUCCGGGGAUAACAGGCUGAUACCGCCCAAGAGUUCAUAUCGACGGCGGUGUUUGGCACCUCGAUGUCGGCUCAUCACAUCCUGGGGCUGAAGUAGGUCCCAAGGGUAUGGCUGUUCGCCAUUUAAAGUGGUACGCGAGCUGGGUUUAGAACGUCGUGAGACAGUUCGGUCCCUAUCUGCCGUGGGCGCUGGAGAACUGAGGGGGGCUGCUCCUAGUACGAGAGGACCGGAGUGGACGCAUCACUGGUGUUCGGGUUGUCAUGCCAAUGGCACUGCCCGGUAGCUAAAUGCGGAAGAGAUAAGUGCUGAAAGCAUCUAAGCACGAAACUUGCCCCGAGAUGAGUUCU